rnacentral:lncRNA from 1 species
GGUGACAUCCCAAUAGGUGUUUUGUACGCAGUUCUAUAGGCCCAAAGUGCAUCAUCUAAUCUCAGACUCCAAUCCUUUCUGCUCGGGUUGACUACCUUCUCCAAAAUGGAUUUGAUCUCUCGGUUAGACACCUCAGCUUGACCAUUACUCUGCGGAUGGUAGGAUGUAGAAACCUUGUGCAGAACAUUGUAUUUCUUGAACAAAGCCGCUAACACCCUGUUGCAAAAGUGG